rnacentral:rRNA from 1 species
GAUGAACGCUGGCGGCGUGCCUAAUACAUGCCAGUCGAGCGAACGGACGAGAAGCUUGCUUCUCUGAUGUUAGCGGCGGACGGGUGAGUAACACGUGGAUAACCUACCUAUAAGACUGGGAUAACUUCGGGAAACCGGAGCUAAUACCGGAUAAUAUUUUGAACGGCAUGGUUCAAAAGUGAAAGACGGUCUUGCUGUCACUUAUAGAUGGAUCCGCGCUGCAUUAGCUAGUUGGUAAGGUAACGGCUUACCAAGGCAACGAUGCAUAGCCGACCUGAGAGGGUGAUCGGCCACACUGGAACUGAGACACGGUCCAGACUCCUACGGGAGGCAGCAGUAGGGAAUCUUCCGCAAUGGGCGAAAGCCUGACGGAGCAACGCCGCGUGAGUGAUGAAGGUCUUCGGAUCGUAAAACUCUGUUAUUAGGGAAGAACAGAUGUGUAAGUAACUGUGCACAUCUUGACGGUACCUAAUCAGAAAGCCACGGCUAACUACGUG